rnacentral:lncRNA from 1 species
CGCUGUGGAGCCGCGCAGGGUCUAGGGCGACUCUCUGAGGGAGCCGCGGCCGCCAGGCUCCGUGGGUUUUGGUUCAGGCGCCGGUGUGCCCAAGGAUGUUGUAGAACUCUGUCUAGCCACAGUGUGGGGAUGGGGAGCUCCCGCCGACAGACUCUGUUGCUUUCUGGCUUGGCCGCUGGUUGUCCCUUGCUCCUGGAAGGUCACCAUAUUGAUGCCAAACUCAGUGUGGAUGCCCAAUUGGUAGAGUGCACUACAGCCCAGAACUCAUGGACUCAAGUCAGCCUCCCAAGUCCCUGGGACUACAGAUUCCUGAAUGAUCCGGCGGCAUGGCAGAGGUGGUGCCUACUGAUAUGGCUCCGAUGACUGGAGGAACACCAGGGUCCUUGGUCUUGCGCCAAUGUAGAAGCUGGCCUGUAUAAAAAUUUCUACGACUAGGAGGCAGGAGUCUUGGCUUCCAGUUCUGCUCUGUUGACACCUGACUGGGGAAUUGGACAAAUAACUUGUCUCAAGGUCAUAGUAUCUCCUUGGUCUUUGGUGAGCUCUGACGAUCUGUGAUUCACAGGUGACAAGACAAGGUUAGUUUUUGGUUUGUUCUUGGCCUCCGUUCUGUCUUGUAGAUUCUCAUUUGUGCUAAUGAGACCAAGGCUG